rnacentral:ncRNA from 1 species
CACAGGGGAGCCAUGGCGGCAGUGCUGCAAAUGGCUGAGAGGAAGGUUAGGCCUUCGACCCUUUGACCUGAUGUGGGUAAUGCCGCCGUAGGAAGUUUUUGUU